rnacentral:rRNA from 1 species
CGUGCGCAGGCGGUUCUAUAAGACAGAUGUGAAAUCCCCGAGCUUAACCUGGGAACUGCAUUUGUGACUGUAGGACUUGAGUGUAGCAGAGGGGGGUGGAAUUCCACGUGUAGCAGUGAAAUGCGUAGAGAUGUGGAGGAACACCGAUGGCGAAGGCAGCCCCCUGGGUUAACACUGACGCUCAUGCACGAAAGCGUGGGGAGCAAACAGGGUUAGAUACCCUGGUAGUCCACGCCCUAAACGAUGCCAACUAGGUGUUGGGGAAGGAGACUUCCUUAGUACCGUAGCUAAACGCGUGAAGUUGGCCGCCUGGGGAGUACGGUCGCAAGAUUCAAACUCAAAGGAAUUGACGGGGACCCGCACAAGCGGUGGAUGAUGUGGAUUAAUUCGAUGCAACGCGGAAAUACCUUACCUACCCUUGACAUGUCCGGAAUCCUGCUGAGAGGUGGGAGUGCUCGAAAGAGAGCCGGAACACAGGUGCUGCAUGGCUGUCGUCAGCUCGUGUCGUGAGAUGUUGGGUUAAGUCCCGCAACGAGCGCAACCCUUGUCAUUAGUUGCCAUCAUUCAGUUGGGCACUCUAAUGAGACUGCCGGUGACAAACCGUAGGAAGGUGGGGAUGACGUCAAGUCCUCAUGGCCCUUAUGGGUAGGGCUUCACACGUCAUACAAUGGUCGGUACAGAGGGUUGCCAACCCGCGAGGGGGAGCUAAUCUCACAAAGCCGAUCGUAGUCCGGAUUGGAGUCUGCAACU